rnacentral:lncRNA from 1 species
GGGUGCAGGUGCCGGCGGGAGUUAAUGGCGCCGGGGAGGGGCCGGUUGGGUGGAGGAGGUGACGCCGGUCGGGAGGAGUGGCGCCAGUAACCAGGAAGAAGAAAGAGAAAGGAAGGAGAAGAAGGAAAGAGAAAGAAGGAGGGAGAAAGAGAAAGAAAGAAGGAAGAAGAAAAAGAAAGGGAAAAGGGGGAGGGAAAAAGGAAAGAAAGAGAGAGGGCCGGCGGCGGUCGCGGCACGCGGUCGGAGCACGCGCGCGGCGGUUUGUCGAUGGCACGCGGCGAGAUUCACGGGCACAGAUAAGGAGGUAGGGGUCGGCAUGGGUGCCGGGACGGCGAAAUCGCCGGGGAGAUUUCCGAUUUCCGGGAGCUCAGCGGUAAAAAGAUUUUAAAGACGGUUUUUAACGGGUGAUUUUAAUUGGUGGUUUCUGCGGAUGUUACAAACCUACCCCACUUAAAUUGAAUCUCGUCCUCGAGAUUCGACUGAGUCCUGAAGAGGUGGGGAAAUUCCUUCUUUAACGCGUCCUCGCGUUCCCACGUGGCC